rnacentral:lncRNA from 1 species
AUUAGCACGGCUUCUUCUACUUCAAACAUCGCGCGCUACACUCUAACAUUACAUACAUGUAAAAAUACAAAGUGUGAGACAAAUAAUGUGUUUAUACGGAUAUCUUAAGUGGUCUGCAGUAGUUCUGAUACCCCCUGUACUUAUUAACGGAAACUAAUUCAUUGUAGAGUACUCGCGCUUAAAAAAAAUGUUAAAUACAGUUAAUGCAAUAUUAAUCGCCCUUUGGUGAUAUAAAAUGCAAUAUUUUCAGGCAGCUAUCGAGCUUUUCUAGAAGAGCUGAUGAAAAGAGUCACAGCUGAAUAGUGGAGAGAAAAAGCCCGGUAUUUAUUGCUUUUGUUUGGCUUUUGGCUACAGAGACAGGAACCUUCUAAUGGGGUGUUUAGAUGGGAUUUACUUUACUUCACCACUGAAUUUCUACUUCCGCAACCAGGCAGACAUUGAAUAUAUCUCUGUCUCUCUCCAUCUAGAGAGUGAGAGAAGAAACAAGAAAAAAAAAGCUAUGAAAUGCAUGAUUCAGGGGAUAGGUGCAUCCUUAGAAGCACAGGUGUUGUCAUGCCAUGAAGCCUUCCGUGAUCUUCUGACCAGGAAGAAACCUAUUUGUGAAUUCUGAGACACAUUUUCCCUUUUUUUAGUCUCUUGGCCUUCU